GUGCUCACUUCGGCAGUACAUAUACUACAAUUGGAACAAUACAGAGAUUGGCAUGGCCCCUAUGUAAGGAUGACAAGCAAAUUCAUGAAGCAUUCCAUAUUUUU
ensembl:snRNA U6 U6 spliceosomal RNA